GAUGAACGCUGGCGGCGUGCCUAAUACAUGCAAGUCGAGCGAACGGACGAGAAGCUUGCUUCUCUGAUGUUAGCGGCGGACGGGUGAGUAACACGUGGAUAACCUACCUAUAAGACUGGGAUAACUUCGGGAAACCGGAGCUAAUACCGGAUGAUAUUUUGAACCGCAUGGUUCAAAAGUGAAAGACGGUCUUGCUGUCACUUAUAGAUGGAUCCGCGCUGCAUUAGCUAGUUGGUAAGGUAACGGCUUACCAAGGCAACGAUGCAUAGCCGACCUGAGAGGGUGAUGGGCCAACCGGGAACUAAGACGCGGCCCAGACUCAUACGGGAGGCAGCAGUGGGGAAUCUUCGGGAAUGGGCGAAGGCCUGACGGACCAAGGCCGCGGGAGUGAUAAGGUUUUUCGGAUGGUAAAACUCUGUUAUGAGGAAAGAACAUAGGUGUAAGUAACUGUGCACAUCUUGACGGUACCUAAUGAGAAAGCCACGGCAAACUCCGUG
rnacentral:rRNA from 1 species